rnacentral:misc_RNA from 1 species
UUACAGCGAAGCGGCGCGAGCCGCCUUUCGAACCACCGCGUACCGAACCCCCCACGUUGCCUCGGCGGGCGCCGGGCGCCCCGCGCCCGCCCCGCCGAACGGCCCCCCAGCAAGACCCCUUCCGUCGAGAUGGCGUCGUCUGAACCCUCCGGGGAAAACGUUUGAAACGAAAAACACAGCUUUCAACAAUGGAUCUCUUGGCUCCGGCAUCGAUGAAGAACGCAGCGAAACGCGAUAGCUAGUGUGAAUUGCAGAUUUCAGUGAAUCAUCGAGUCUUUGAACGCACAUUGCGCCUCUUGGUAUUCCUCGAGGCAUGCCUGUUCGAGCGUCGUUACGCCCCUCAAGCGCGAGCUUGGUGUUGGGGACCGCCCCUGAGACACGGCGGCGGCCCCGGAAUGCAUCGGCGGUGCUGGUCCCAGCCCGGAGCGCAGCAGACAUGCGGCUCCGCGGGCGGGGCCGGCGCCCGCCGGACAAACGACGAGACCCCUCCACAAGUCG